rnacentral:rRNA from 1 species
CAAGUCGAGCGAGAACCAGGGCUUCGGCCCUGGGGACAGCGGCGAACGGGUGAGUAACACGUGGGUAAUCUGCCCUCGGCAUCGGGAUAGCCCGGGGAAACCCGGAUUAAUACCGGAUAGCCUCCGGAGCCUUCGGGCGCCGGAGAAAAGGUAGCUUCGGCCUCUGGCCGAGGAUGAGCCCGCGGCGGAUUAGCUUGUUGGCGGGGUAACGGCCCACCAAGGCGACGAUCCGUAGCUGGUCUGAGAGGACGAUCAGCCACACUGGGACUGAGACACGGCCCAGACUCCUACGGGAGGCAGCAGUGGGGAAUCUUGCGCUAAUGCGGGAAACCGUGACGCAGCGACGCCGCGUGGGGGAAGAAGGCCUUCGGGUUGUAAACCUCUUUCAGGAGGGACGAAGCUACUCGGGUGAAUAGCCCAGAGGGUGACGGUACCUCCAGAAGAAGCCCCGGCUAACUACGUGCCAGCAGCCGCGGUAAUACGUAGGGGGCAAGCGUUGUCCGGAUUUAUUGGGCGUAAAGAGCGUGUAGGCGGCCUGACAGGUCUGCUGUGAAAACUCGAGGCUCAACCUCGAGAUGUCGGCGGAAACCGUCUGGCUAGAGUCCGGAAGAGGAGAGUGGAAUUCCUGGUGUAGCGGUGAAAUGCGCAGAUAUCAGGAAGAACACCUAUGGCGAAGGCAGCUCUCUGGGACGGUACUGACGCUGAGACGCGAAAGCGUGGGGAGCGAACAGGAUUAGAUACCCUGGUAGUCCACGCCGUAAACGAUGGGUGCUAGGUGUGGGCGGUGUCGACUCCGUCCGUGCCGAAG